CCCUUAGACGUUCUGGGCCGCACGCGCGCUGCACUGACACAGGCAACGAGCUUUCCUUUACCGAAAGGUAUGGGUAAUCUUUUGAAACUGUGUCGUGCUGGGGAUAGAUCCUUGCAAUUUUUGAUCUUAAACGAGGAAUUCCUAGUAAGCGCGAGUCAUCAACUCGCGUUGAUUACGUCCCUGCCCUUUGUACACACCGCCCGUCGCUACUACCGAUUGAAUGGCUUAGUGAGGCCUCAGGAUCCGCGCUUAAUGUGUGGAGAAUUUGGACAAACUACGUCAUUUAGAGGAAGUAAAAGUCGUAACA
rnacentral:rRNA from 1 species